GUAGUGUUCGUGCCUAGCGAAGUCAUAAGCUAGGGCAGUCUUUAGAGGCUGACGGCAGGAAAAAAGCCUACGUCUUCGGAUAUGGCUGAGUAUCCUUGAAAGUGCCACAGUGACGAAGUCUCACUAGAAAUGGUGAGAGUGGAACGCGGUAAACCCCUCGAGCGAGAAACCCAAAUUUUGGUAGGGGAACCUUCUUAACGGAAUUCAACGGAGAGAAGGACAGAAUGCUUUCUGUAGAUAGAUGAUUGCCG
rnacentral:RNase_P_RNA from 1 species